GAUGAACGCUGGCGGCGUGCCUAAUACAUGCAAGUCGAGCGAACAGACGAGGAGCUUGCUCCUCUGACGUUAGCGGCGGACGGGUGAGUAACACGUGGAUAACCUACCUAUAAGACUGGGAUAACUUCGGGAAACCGGAGCUAAUACCGGAUAACAUGUUGAACCGCAUGGUUCAACAGUGAAAGACGGUUUUGCUGUCACUUAUAGAUGGAUCCGCGUCGCAUUAGCUAGUUGGUAAGGUAACGGCUUACCAAGGCAACGAUGCGUAGCCGACCUGAGAGGGGGAGGGGACCAAAUGAAAGUGAACCACGGUACGGACAAGACACGGAGGGCGGAGUAGGGAAUGUUAAGAAAGGGGAGAAAGAAAAACGGAGACCAGCCAUGUUAAUGAUAAAGGUGUUCGUAUAGUAAAAAAGUAUUAUUAGAGAAGAAGAAAGGUGUAAGCAACUAUGCAGGAUUUGAAGGUACCGAAAGAGAAAGCAACGGCUAACUACGUG
rnacentral:rRNA from 1 species